GACAGAGGAUGCAAGCGUUGUCCGGAAUUAUUGGGCGUAAAGAGCUCGUAGGCGGUCUGUCGCGUCUGCUGUGAAAACUCAGGGCUUAACCCUGAGCUUGCAGUGGGUACGGGCAGACUAGAGUGCGGUAGGGGAGACUGGAAUUCCUGGUGUAGCGGUGAAAUGCGCAGAUAUCAGGAGGAACACCGGUGGCGAAGGCGGGUCUCUGGGCCGUAACUGACGCUGAGGAGCGAAAGCAUGGGGAGCGAACAGG
rnacentral:rRNA from 1 species